rnacentral:rRNA from 1 species
AUGACCUUGCCUGAUGAGCCCAUCUGUGCAAUCAAGAUAUUUGAAUUUGUUAUGAAUAUAGAUUGUUUUCCAAAUAUCUAUAUUGCUUAUCGUAUUUUAUUUACUGUACUUGUGACUGUAGCUUCUGCCGAAUGUAGUUUUUGAAAACUAAAAUUGUUAAAAAAUUACUUGAGGUCAACAAUGUUGCAAGAGAUAUUGAACAGUUUAGCUACUAUAUGCAUUGAGAAGGAUCUACUGGACUAG